rnacentral:rRNA from 1 species
GAUGAACGCUGGCGGCGUGCCUAAUACAUGCAAGUCGAGCGAACAGACGAGGAGCUUGCUCCUCUGACGUUAGCGGCGGACGGGUGAGUAACACGUGGAUAACCUACCUAUAAGACUGGGAUAACUUCGGGAAACCGGAGCUAAUACCGGAUAAUAUAUUGAACCGCAUGGUUCAAUAGUGAAAGACGGUUUUGCUGUCACUUAUAGAUGGAUCCGCGCCGCAUUAGCUAGUUGGUAAGGUAACGGCUUACCAAGGCAACGAUGCGUAGCCGCCCUGAGAGGGUGAUCGGCCCCACUGGACCUGAGACCCGGUCCAGACUCCUACGGGAGGCAGCAGUAGGGAAUCUUCCGCAAUGGGCGAAAGCCUGACGGAGCAACGCCGCGUGAGUGAUGAAGGUCUUCGGAUCGUAAAACUCUGUUAUUAGGGAAGAACAAAUGUGUAAGUAACUAUGCACGUCUUGACGGUACCUAAUCAGAAAGCCACGGCUAACUACGU